rnacentral:rRNA from 1 species
UACGUAGGGAGCAAGCGUUGUCCGGAAUGAUUGGGCGUAAAGGGCGCGUAGGCGGCUCGGUAAGUCUGGAGUGAAAGUCCUUCUUUCAAGGAGGGAAUUGCUUUGGAUACUGUCGGGCUUGAGUGCAGGAGAGGUAAGUGGAAUUCCCAGUGUAGCGGUGAAAUGCGUAGAGAUUGGGAGGAACACCAGUGGCGAAGGCGACUUACUGGACUGUAACUGACGCUGAGGCGCGAAAGUGUGGGGAGCAAACAGGAUUAGAUACCCUGGUAGU